CACCAGCGCCCGACCCCGAGCUCCUCCUCCCGUGCGCCUCCUCCCUGGCCUCCCUCGCGCGUCGUCCGGCGACCGGCGCCGCCGCCGCCGACCACCCAGGUCACGCCGCCGCUUCCAUGCCUUUUCUCUCUCUAAUCUUCUUGUAUCUCCUAUCCAGGAGCUCAGCGCCAGCGCCAUGGAUGUCCAGUCCUCGAGCUCUCCUCGGAGGUUCGAACGCCGCCAUGGGACCUCCACCAGCCAGAUCCGGCGCCUACCUCCCGGAUCCGCGCUCCCUCCACCUCCUCUACCCGAUUCGGCGCCGCCGAACCCGCCAAGACCUCCACCAUGGAGUUCCUAUAGCUCGUCCCCUGCCUCCUCGUCCUGUGCUCGAGGGAGACGCCCCUCCAGCGCAUCCAGGACAAGGCCCACCGCCAGCCGGUCGUUGUUGCACUCACCGGCGACCUCACCCUCCCCUCUGCACUGCCCUCCACCUCAACUAAUGCUUCUCAUCAACAGGGAUAGAUUUAGCUGGUCAUAGCUUGUGGAUGUUCUCUGUUAAUUUUUGCACACAAGGUGUUUGUGUGUUUGUCCAAGCCAAUGUUCAUGAGCUUUAUCUUUGCUAUAAAUGACAUGGCUGAGAAAGUCCCUUCAAUGAAAGGAGGGGGAGUAUAGUCUUGGCCAUGGCUGGGAAGGAAGGAGAACAUGUAAAUUGAGGAUUUUUCAGAGAGAUUAGGACUGCUUGAUUUAUCAGAGAGAAAACCUUGAUCAGGAGCUUCGUCGAUGCAGGCCUUCAUGCUGGACCGAGGAGGAGAAGAAGGGGGGCACAUCGAAGGUGCCGGUGGAGCGUGUCGUCGAGAUUGUUGAUGACAGCGACACGGGCGAGGCCGGGGAGGAGGUCAUGGUUGAUGCUUUACUGCCUGAAUAUGUUGACCGGGAACAAGAGGGUAAGGUGGAUGUGAGGGCGGAGGCGCAUGCCAUGGUGCAGGAUGUUGUGGAAGCCUGAUUAUUUGAGGAAGUGACAGCCACUGGGAGCAUGGAUCGACAGACUAGACAGCAGACCAAGUCCAUUGAUCGAUUGAUUCAACAACGAAGGAAGAGGCAGAAGGUUAUAAAAACGAGCUUGGGGAUUUACUGACCUGAAUCUUAAACAGGGCCGCCCUGCUGAUGGACUCAAGCUCCAGAUAGAUAUGCAAAGUCAUAGUCCUGCAUGUAUGGACAUCUACUGAUACAUACAAGCCGAUCGACGGGCACACACAUUAGUAAGUUCUGCUACUAGCCUAAUCAAGAGCCUUUUAUACAACCCCGCAAAAAAAAGCCUUUUAUACAGCCUUGCAGAUUAAAAAUGAAUUGAAUUAUGAGCAUCUGACAACUACGAUCAAUUUCCUGGUUAUACUUCCUGAAAUAAAGGUGGCCGACCAAAUGAAAGGAUGGAUGCUUUCCUUUAUGUGAGAUAAUGUACAUUAUCUUACUUGAUCUGCAAUGUUUCUUUGGUAAUUUUUUAUGAAAGACACAUGACACAUAGUUUGCUGGAUAGGUCUAAGAUAAAUAUUUCAGUUAUAGGAGGAUAUUUUUAAAUGGGUAAUACUAUUACCGCCAUCUGCUUGGCCUGUUGUGCUUUCGGUAGAGCUUUCAUAUUUCAACAAAAAAAAAACAAUGCAAGUUGGGACCAGAAUAGCACACACAUCCUCAAAGGAAACAUCAGUUGGGAGUGCUCAAGUAUUCAGUUUCUUGGAUGAUGUAUUAUGUUCUCGCUUAUCAUGUACUCCCUCUGUAAACAAAUAUAAGACCUUUUAUAUAGAUAACUAAAGUAGUGAUCUAACAUGUCCUAUAUUUGUUAGAGGGAGUAUGUUUCUAGAUAUCCGUCAACUCCAAUGUUUCAUUUAUCUGCUCUCUGAAUAUGAAGAAGAUAGGCUUGCAAAGUAGCUUUUUAUGUGAAUAAUGUGACAAACAUUUAUGUCUUAUAACUGCAAACAUUUUUUUGUUUAGUCCGUCACCGAGCAAAUGUUUGGGAGUUGGAAAUUAUUUGGAUACACAUGAUCUCAGCAAAGAAAGAUUCACACAUACUACAAUCAAAGGACCUCCUUCACUCUCUGUGCAACUACAGAAAUUAUCCUUAUGAGCAGCACCCUAGAUUUAGUUGUGGGUUCUAACAUAUUAGAGAUGUGGUUAGAAUACCUACUGCUCUGAACAAUUAAGUGGUUUGUAUAAACCACCGAUUCCCUCGUGCAGUGUACAAUGUGAUAUGGAUCAUCAUAGGAUCAAACUUAAUACAGGAUGUACACACUUAAUUGUUUCUGAACUAUACUACUUUUUAUGUUCAUUCUCCUGUCCUUUUAAAUCUCUAAUUUAGUUGCAAGUAUUUUAUUUGUUAUCGUUUGGCUUCUUAAGAACAAAUCUAGCAAGUUUGGCUUCUUCAGAACAAAUCUAGCAAGCAACGACUUGACUGAUGAAAGAGAUGUUGACCAUCUUUGCUGCAGUGAGGUACCUUCUUGAUCAUGUUACUAAUCUGUAUCUACAUUAUUCAGAUGUGAAACUCAUGCUUCUUAAAACAUCUGCAAGACAUAUGUGCACUCUGAAAUGGUAAAAUAUUUGCAUUCUAUAGUACUUCAAGUUUGUGUAGCAUCCCCAUAUUUCCCGUGACCCAGUUCCUUGAACUGGCUAACCCUUAUUGAUGUCAUAUGUCCUGAACUGACUCUCAUGACCAAGUUCCUCAACACGUCCGCCCCUCACAGGCAUGUUGUGCAGUGGCUCAAUUCAUCGCAUUGUGAUUGAACACAUUUGGACACAUUAGGAUUAGGUGAACACUGAACACUGCCAACAUCGGUGAGGGUGGUCAGGAAAAAAGCCAAAACCACUAGACGAAGGGGCGCUGGUCUCUGGUUCUUGGCGAAGGCCACCGCAGCUCAUCUCCAAGACCUCUGCUGUCGUGUGUCCCCCAAGUUCUUCACCGAAUCUCCUCGCCCACUGGCUGCUGCUCUUCUUCUCCCUCGAACACAUCUCUGCUUCUGAUCCUUUGCUGCCGCCCCUAACCUGCUGCUUUUGGUUUCUAAUGUUGCCCUCGACUGCUGUACCUCUCCUUCUCCAACGAACUGUUGUUCCUAAUCUUCUCUGAACCCAAACUGUUGCUGCUCCGCUUCCUCUCUGAACCUCAGUCUGCUGCUGCUUCUCUGAUUCAGAGUAAACCAAUAAGCAGGAAUUUUAUGGACUUCUAGGUCGUUUUUCCUUUGGUAACAGUUAUUGUUAGUUCUAAACAAUUUUUCAGUGCCACGAUUAGGCUUCCAAGGGUACAGACAAUGAUGAAGAAGCCUUUUAUAUCACACACUAUAUAACAUCAUGGAAUCACAACCUUAUAACAACUAAUUUAAGAGGCUAUGUUCUGGUUUGCUGUAUCUCCACCAGUUUGGGUUGGUCUGAUGGCUAACCUAAACUGAAUAGGGUAUCAGGAGUACUUUAGUUGGUAUUGAAAGUGGUAUGUUUACUUUCAAGCUGAAAAUCUUGCAAGUUUGGUCCUGGGAUAUUUAAUGCUCCCUUUUCUUAUUAUCUUCCAAUCAUACUAUACAUAUUUAGUUUUUUUACUUUCUCUUGACAAGUGAACUGAAUUAUUCAUGGAGAAUUUGGUUAUGGUAAAUUUUAUUAUGGAGAUUCAUCCGAUGUAAUAGAAUAGCUUUAUUUGCUAAAAUCAAUACAUAACUAUAGUGUUGUAUGGUUACAACAUGUAGAGUUUUGCAAGUGAGAGUUACUGGAAGUCACUAUUGCAAGAUGGCAUUCAGUUAACACACGUACAAUCGACUGAUCACUGUAUCUUUUUUUGCUAAUUUAAUUUGAAAAAGCUAUUGCAAACAAUUUUUUCUUCUGAAAUCAUAUACUCUGUUUAUUUCUAAUGUGAUUUUGUUACUGUUUGUAUGGCAUUUCUCUGUCUAAAUUUUUUGUUACAUAAAUCAAUCUGCAUAUAUGUGUGCAGGCUGUGAAUCGACAAACAGCCCAGAAAAUAUGGCAUGCUACAUACCCUGUGACAGUACAUUAUCAGAAAUACUUAUAUUUUUGAUAAACGCAUCUCUCAUCCAUCAUGACAUAGAUGUGAUGCGUUGCAAGUGUUCUUUUUCGUUCCCUCGCGAUGCGUCGAGUACAUGAUGGAUGGUCUAAUCGUUCAGUGUGUCAUGUGUACUCAGUCACUUGUGUCAUCUUCAGAUUUUAGAAGUCAAAAUUCUAGCUUUAGCUCUAUAUUUAAGAAUUUUUCUACGGAAAAUGCAAGAAAAAUAAAGCGUCCUUCUGCUCUCAUUCUGAGGAAGUUCUGAAAAAUUGAGGCAUUUGUAUGAAUUUCUAUUCUUCAUUAUAAAUUAUCCUUUCAAGUUUAGAAAAUAAAACAUGAUAUACUCUGUAUGUCUCUGUUCUACACUACCACUACCAUUUUAUUGCUGCAAAACGCCAAUGAAAAAGUCAUUACUAUUUUCCACAUUUUUAUACAAUCAAGCUGAAAGAGCAAUAAAAUGAUUUGUUUUUGACAUCGCCUCAGAUCUUACCGAAAGGCAAUGUGCUUAUAAUGUACAUCUAGAUAACAAUAAUGUGUUUGGGAAUGAUUCAUUUGUCGACGGCCAGCAUGUGGGGUGUGAGGGACGAUACUUAUAUCACUUAGUGGCCAAGGGAAUGACAUCACAAAAGUUUAUCUAAAAUCCUAGGAGAAGAUGGACACAUGUUCCUAUAUUGCUUCUCUACAAUUGCUUUCACCAUUUGAUCAUCCAUGUAAUUUAUAGCAUCCAUGCAUAGCUUAUCCUUAUGCUGUUUGUAUUCACUUAUUCCUUUUGUUGACAUGGCUAGGAGGCUACUAUGAAUGUCACAUAGAUUGUAAUUUAACCUCCUUACAAAUAAUUAACGUUCAAACAUUCCAGUGGAGGAAUCUCAAGACUUAGGAAUGGUGCCCCGACAAUUGUGAGCGGCACAAAGGAAGGGCCGCCAUCACCAAGGAAGUACGUUCACAAUUGUGGACUCCAAAGAGGAAUAAGCUCUAUAUUUAGUGCAUUGAGUUGCUAUUUUAAAUUCUGAGAGGUGUUCAAUUUUGUCGAUUUCUAAGACAUUGACUCGGAAGAAUUAUUAUUUUGCUUGAUGUAAACUCGGAUUAAUUUGUCAUGUCAUUUGAACUGAACAACCUUUUUGUGACAUCACUUCAUGAUUUUUUGUGGGAUAUCUUUUUUUACAGGUAGAUUUUUGUGUGA